AUGCCUCUCUUUGACAGACCUGGAGCAAUUACUGUCUGCUGCUAAGGCUUCCAUUACAGAUGCACGAAGGAAGUGUCCUCCUGUUUUUUUGUCUGACUGUGGCAGCCAAGAUAGAGGGAGAGAAAAGAAG
rnacentral:snoRNA from 1 species